ACGAACGCUGGCGGCGUGUCUAAGGCAUGCAAGUCGAGUGGGUUAGACCCACGGCAAACGGGAGCGUAACACAUUGGUAACUUACCUUGGGGUCGCGAAUAAUCCGCCGAAAGGCGGGAUAAUACGCGAUGGAAAUGAGGGGACAAAAGUCAUUCUCAUUUAAAGAUUCAUCGCCCCAAGAAAGGCCUAUGCCCUAUCAGCUAGUUGGUGAGGUAAUAGCUCACCAAGGCUACGACGGGUACCGGGUGUGAGAGCAUGACCCGGCUCACUGGGACUGAGACACUGCCCAGACUCCUACGGGAGGCUGCAGUCAAGAAUAUUCCUCAAUGGCCGAAAGGCUGAAGGAGCGACGCCGCGUGCAGGAAGACGCCCCUCGGGGUGUAAACUGCUUUUAUCCGGGAAGAAUAAAUGACGGUACCGGAAGAAUAAGGGGCUGCUAACCUCGU
rnacentral:rRNA from 1 species